CUUCACCGAUCCCAACCACAGGGGUCGAUCCCGGCUACCGCCACCGUAAGUGGCCAGCAGCGCGUUCGCUUC
rnacentral:antisense_RNA from 1 species